AUUACGAGCAAUGCUUAAAACCCAAAGGAUUUGACGGUGUCCCACCCCACUAGAGGAGCCUGUUCUAUAAUCGAUGAUCCCCGAUAUACCCGACCAUUUCUCGCUUAUCAGUCUGUAUACCUCCGUCGAAAGCUUACCAUGUGAACGCUUGCAGUAGGCUUAAUGACCUAACACGUCAAUACGUCAGGUUAAGGUGCAGCUUAAGAAAUGGCAAGUAAUGGGCUACAAUUUCUAAUCUAGAACAAACGAAAGACUAUAUGAAAUUAUAAUCAUGAAGGUGGAUUUAGUAGUAAAAAGAAAUUAGAGUGUUCUUUUUAACCCGGCUCUGGGACGCGUACCCACCGCCCGUCACCCUCUUCGAUAGUAUCUCACCCCGUUCCUAACCCACUAUUACAUUUUAGAAGAGGCAAGUCGUAACAUGGUAA
rnacentral:rRNA from 1 species